UUGAACGCUGGCGGCAUGCCUUACACAUGCAGGUCGAACGGUAGAGGGGCAACCCUUGAGAGUGGCGAACGGGUGAGUAAUAUAUCGGAACGUGCCCAGUCGUGGGGGAUAACGCAGCGAAAGCUGCGCUAAUACCGCAUACGAUCUAUGGAUGAAAGCGGGGGAUCGCAAGACCUCGCGCGAUUGGAGCGGCCGAUAUCAGAUUAGGUAGUUGGUGGGGUAAAAGCCCACCAAGCCGACGAUCUGUAGCUG
rnacentral:rRNA from 1 species